AGAGUUUGAUCCUGGCUCAGGACGAACGCUGGCGGCGUGCUUAACACAUGCAAGUCGAGCGAUGAAGCACCUUCGGGUGUGGAUUAGCGGCGAACGGGUGAGGAACACGUGAAGAAUCUGCCUUCAACUCUGGGAUAACUCCGGGAAACCGGGGCUAAUACCGGAUAUGAGCCUUGGCCGCAUGGCCGGGGCUGGAAAGUUUUUCGGUUGAAGAUGACUUCGCGGCCUAUCAGCUUGUUGGUGAGGUAAUGGCUCACCAAGGCGACGACGGGUAGCCGGCCUGAGAGGGCGACCGGCCACACUGGGACUGAGACACGGCCCAGACUCCUACGGGAGGCAGCAGUGGGGAAUAUUGGGCAAUGGAGGAAACUCUGACCCAGCGACGCCGCGUGAGGGAUGAAGGCCUUCGGGUUGUAAACCUCUUUCAGUAGGGAAGAAGCGAAAGUGACGGUACCUACAGAAGAAGCACCGGCUAACUAUGUGCCAGCAGCCGCGGUAAUACAUAGGGUGCAAGCGUUGUCCGGAAUUAUUGGGCGUAAAGAGCUCGUAGGUGGUUCGAUACGUCGGAUGUGAAAAUCAGGGGCUCAACCCCUGACCUGCAUUCGAUACGGUCGAGCUAGAGUUUGGUAGGGGAGACUGGAAUUCCUGGUGUAGCGGUGGAAUGCGCAGAUAUCAGGAGGAACACCGAUGGCGAAGGCAGGUCUCUGGGCCAAUACUGACACUGAGGAGCGAAAGCGUGGGGAGCGAACAGGAUUAGAUACCCUGGUAGUCCACGCCGUAAACGGUGGGCGCUAGUUGUGCGAACCUUCCACGGUUUGUGCGACGCAGCUAACGCAUUA
rnacentral:rRNA from 1 species